ensembl:lncRNA
GUUCCAGCAGCACAUUAUGUCUGUGGGUAGCAGAACAGCUCGAGCACACCCAUCCCUUUCCAUGGCCCCCAGCACGGCUGUGGUAGGAUGAGCCCUGCCCUGCUCCUGCUGCUGUCCCUGGCCAGCUGCUCCCUGCUCCAGGGGACGCUACUGAGGCCACGGCACGUCAGGCUGGAGGCACAGAACUUCCACGUCUUGCUGCGCUGGGAGCCAGACCCCAGCUCACCCAGCUCUGCCACCUAUGAGGUGGAGUGGAGGAACAGAACCUCAAACUGGACCAAGGCAGGUGCCUAUGGGGGGAACUGCAGAAACUCCUGUGUGUGUGAGCUGUAUUUUGACAGGAUUCAUGAUAUCUACUGGGCACGGGUGAGAGUGGUGGCCGGAGGUGAGCGGUCCGAGUGGGCCAUUUCCAGCGAGCUGCAGCUGUACAGAGACACAAUUGUUGGCCCUCCCAAGCUGUCUUGGCUGCUCCAGGACCAAAUCCUCAGCGUAAACAUCAUCACACCACCCACUCCCUACCAGAGAAGGACUGGUUCCUACAAGCCAGUCAACCGAGUGCUGCUGAAGCUGUGGUACUGGCUGCACCUGUACGAGGGGGACCUGCUUGUCCAACAGGUGCCCUGCAAACAGAGCAGUGAGAAAGUGCCUUGCACCUUUGGGCACCUGAAGCCCAGCACACAGUACUGUGUCCGGACGGUGGCUGCAGACAUUGCCAGGGAGCGGAGCCAGGAGGCUGAGCAGUGCCUGGUGACUCCAGCAGCCCCCUCAGGCUUUCCAUGGGUCUCUGCUGUGCUGAGUGCCUUCUUCCUGCUGCUGCCACUGAGUGUGGCCGGGAUGUGCUUCGUGCAGCUGCAUGUCUUUCCCAGUCCUCAGGAGAUGUGCCUCCCAAAAGCACUGGCUCUCCAGAACAGCGAGCUGAAUGUGGCCAUGCAGGUGCCUCCACUGCAGCUUGAGGAGGACCCACUGGCCCUGCUCCUGCAGACUGUGCUCCCCUCCCACGGGCCAUCCACAGCUGUGCAGGCAUCAGCCACGGUCCCACGGCUCCUGCGAGGCCUUGUCCAGGAUGUGAGUGGCUACUGUGCCAACGGGUUUCGCCCAGACUGCAUUGAGGGAAGGGACCCAUCCUGCACCCACAGUCAGCUGGGGCAUGCCUUAGGUUCUCAGGUCCCCUCACAGCUGGAGAAGGAUGAGGAGCUUUAUUCUAAAUGCCAGUGCCCAGUUCUGGGAGCAGACAGCCACCUUCCUCUGCCCGUGCCGAGCAGAAGCUGCAGCCAGGAGUGCCUGCAGGAGAGUCUGGGCACGGCUGGGCACUGGAUCCGGCUCAGCUCCGUGAGGCUCCUGCCCAGCACGGAGACGGAGGGCGGGCAGCGCCCCUGUGCUCCCCAGGCCCUGCGGGGCGGCGGGACUGACCCAGAGCUAGGGGCCAGCGCCGUGCAGCGAGGCUCCCCGGGGCAGGCCGAGCCGUGUCCGUGCCCGCUGCCCCCCUCGCCCCGCGGCCUGCGGGCAGCUCCCUUCCCCGGCUACGAGCCCCGGGCCCCGGCGGGCAGCGAGCCUUAG